rnacentral:rRNA from 1 species
CCUACGGGUGGCAGCAGUGGGGAAUCUUCCUCAAUGGGCGAAAGCCUGACGGCGCAACGCCGCUUUAUCGAAUGAAGGCCUUCGGGUUGUACAGUUCUGUUGACAGGGACGAAUAAGCCAUGCGAAUAGUUUGGUGUAUGACGGUACCUGUUUAGAAAGCUCCGGCUAACUACGUGCCAGCAGCCUCGGUCAUACGGUGGGAGCAAGCUGUGUCCGGAAUUACUGGGCGUAAAGGGCGCGUAGGUGGGUGCUUAAGUCAGUUGUGAAAAAUCUGGGCUCAACCUGGAGACUGCACUUGAAACUGGGUAUCUUGAGGGGAGGAGAGGAAAGUGGAAUUCGUAGUGUAGCGGUGAAAUGCGUAGAUAUUAGGAGGAACACCAGUGGCGAAGGCGACUUUCUGGACUGUACCUGACGCUGAGGCGCGAAAGCGUGGGUAGCGAACGGGAUUAGAGACCCCUGUAGUC